UACAGAGGGUGCGAGCGUUGUUCGGAAUUAUUGGGCGUAAAGCGCUUGUAGGCGGCUUGUUAAGUUCCGUGUGAAAUCCCCAGGCUUAACCUGGGAAGUGCGCGGAAAACUGGCGAGCUUGAGUGCCGGAGAGGGUCGCGGAAUUCCCGGUGUAGAGGUGUAAAUUCGUAGAGUAUCGGGAAGGAACACCAGUGGCGAAGGGCGGACGA
rnacentral:rRNA from 1 species